rnacentral:rRNA from 1 species
UAUACGACCGUACCGCAAACCGACACUGGUGCGCGAGAUGAGUAUUCUAAGGCGCUUGAGAGAACUCAGGAGAAGGAACUCGGCAAAUUGACACCGUAACUUCGGAAGAAGGUGUGCCCUAUUAGUGUGUAGUGAACAACGAAGCAUGAAUGGGUUGCAAAAAAUCGGUGGCUGCGACUGUUUAUUAAAAACACAGCACUCUGCAAACACGAAAGUGGACGUAUAGGGUGUGACGCCUGCCCGGUGCUGGAAGAUUAAAUGAUGGGGUGCAAGCUCUUGAUUGAAGUCCCAGUAAACGGCGGCCGUAACUAUAACGGUCCUAAGGUAGCGAAAUUCCUUGUCGGGUAAGUUCCGACCUGCACGAAUGGCGUAACGAUGGCCACACUGUCUCCUCCUGAGACUCAGCGAAGUUGAAAUGUUUGUGAUGAUGCAAUCUCCCCGCGGAAAGACGGAAAGACCCCAUGAACCUUUACUGUAGCUUUGUAUUGGACUUUGAACAGAUCUGUGUAGGAUAGGUGGGAGGCUUUGAAGCAGGGUCGCUAGAUCUUGUGGAGCCAACGUUGAAAUACCACCCUGGUGUGUUUGAGGUUCUAACCUAGGUCCAUUAUCUGGAUCGGGGACAGUGCAUGGUAGGCAGUUUGACUGGGGCGGUCUCCUCCCAAAGCGUAACGGAGGAGUUCGAAGGUACGCUAGUUACGGUCGGACAUCGUGACGAUAGUGCAAUGGCAUAAGCGUGCUUAACUGCGAGACUGACAAGUCGAGCAGAUGCGAAAGCAGGACAUAGUGAUCCGGUGGUUCUGUAUGGAAGGGCCAUCGCUCAACGGAUAAAAGGUACUCUGGGGAUAACAGGCUGAUACCGCCCAAGAGUUCAUAUCGACGGCGGUGUUUGGCACCUCGAGGUCGGCUCAUCUCAUCCUGGGGCUGUAGCCGGUCCCAAGGGUAUGGCUGUUCGCCAUUUAAAGAGGUACGUGAGCUGGGUUUAAAACGUCGAGAGACAGUUUGGUCCCUAUCUUCCGUGGGCGCUGCAGAUUUGAGGAAGCCUGCUCCUAGUACGAGAGGACCGGAGUGGACACACCUCUGGUGUAUCGGUUGUCACGCCAGUGGCAUUGCCGAGUAGCUAAGUGUGGAAGAUAUAACCGCUGAAAGCAUCUAAGCGGGAAACUCGUUUCAAGAUGAGAUCUGCCGGGGCCUUGAGCCCCCUAAAGAGUCGUUCAAGACCAGGACGUUGAUAGGUCAGGUGUGGAAGUGA